CAGAUAGAGACAAGGGAUAUUUGACUUCUUAUCUCUGUUGUCCAGCACAAUGUCCAGAACACAACAGAUAUUCCAUAUGCACAGUCACAUGCUAUGUAUGUGUAUUUUCUUUCCAGAAAGGACUAGAGGUCCUAAGCUUUGUUAAUAUCAUGAGCCAGUGCCCACAUGAGCAGGAGAAUUUUAGCACAGUCACCUACACACUCAUUUCGAUGCUCUGACCCCUUAUCCAAGCCAGUCAAAGUGUGGUCUAUGGUUUUGCAUUUUAAAGAGAUCCCUGGGUGAAUCUUGUGCAUGUUACAGGGAAGCACUGUCCUACAUCCUAUGUGACAGGCUCUCAUAGUCACCAUCAUCAUGGGAAUCUUGCACAUGUUACAGGGAAGCACUGUCCUACAUCAUAUGUGACAGGCUCUCAUAGUCACCAUCAUCACGGGAAUCUUGCACAUGUUACAGGGAAGCACUGUCCUACAUCGUAUCUGACAGGCUCUCAUAGUCACCAUCAUCACGGGAAGCUGCAUUUAGAGCAUUUAACUGUAUGGGCUCUGAAAUCAGAUGACUUAGGUUUGGGCUUGCCUCUACUUCUUACUAAGCAGAGAACUUUGGGGCAUGAUACUUAAUUUUACUAGGCUCAGUUUUAUCAUGUGUAAAUUGGAGGCAAGGGGAAAUUAUAGCAUUUUGCAUAGAAUAUUGUUUUAAGUAUGAA
rnacentral:lncRNA from 1 species